ensembl:lncRNA
ACAGUUAUGAUUUUCCACCUGACAGCUGUAAUCCUGGCACAAGUAGGAUUGCUGCUGUGGCUGGAUGAUCUACUGAAGCACUUCUGCUGCUACCUGGAGAAUAAAUGUCUCAACUCCUUCCUCUUAUGCAACUAUAGGGUACCUAAGGAGAUGGUAGUGUCCCUGGUCUCCCAAACAGCCAUCUUGAUCAAUCUCUUCCAGUACCUGACACAGGAGCUGAUCACACAUGUGAGGAGCUAUGAGAUCAGCUCAUGAGAAGGCUCUUCCUCCACUGACGUUGAAAGAGGACUUCUCACACAUAGAGCUAUGGUGCCAGGAGAGGCAGUAUUUUCCUUAAGAUGGUCUCCCCAGUGCUGCAGCUGGUAAUAACUGCAGUGUUGUGGCCAGCAUAGUCAUCGUUUUUCACCCUGCCUUCCUCUCACACAGACUGGCUCAGCCCAAGAUCCAGACAUUCCCCCUCACAACUGUCUCUGCAUACGGCCUAAUCAAGAAGCACUGGUGAAGGCCUCAGUGUGCUCAGUGAGGGCAGUGUAGGGAACCUGUCUGUCCCACACAUACCCUAGACACUGGUGCCACAGGACUGACUACACUCAGAAGGCUCUGUUCAACAGGCAGUGGGAAUUUUCUCCACAGCCAAACUACAUUUUAGAGAGUAGCUGAUGAUGUUGGAUGGAGACUUCCAUGAGAGACUGCUGCUAGCAUCUGGACAGUGACCGCCCAAACCCUUGGCAAGAGUCCAUACAUUCCGGAGCUUCAGCCUGUGCACAGAUGCCAGUAAACUGCUUGUGUGAACCUCUCUGUGAGUGUCUGCCCAGAACUUCGUUGAUGAGGAGAGAGAUGUAAAGAAGAGUGAAGUUUUUUAAGUGAGAUAUGGAUGCAAAUUCAGAGGUUUUCCAUGACAUUUCCUAUGUAAUCUCUGGAAAGGCUUCAAGACUCUCCUGUUCAGACUGGCAUAUAAAUCUACAGAACAUUCUUCCUGAAGAAAAUAGAUAUUUAUUCUGGCAUCAGUGAAAGACUCUUCUCCCACCUCAGACAGCCCAGAGCUCUCCCUCUCCUCUGUGUGGUAUUCAGAUAUAUUUGUCAGUAUUUACGGAUGAGUUUUGAAAUGUUUUAAAAUCUGGCUUUAACUAUGGAACACUGACUGUAAUUAUAAUUCUGGCAUUAUUUAUAAGAUCAGAGUCUCCUUUCCAGUGAGAAGUCUUCCAUUAUCAGUCAAGCAUUAGAAAAGAUUUCACAGACAUUAUAAAACAGGACAAGAAGAGAUUGUGAAAUUUAGCCAUGCUUUUUAUUUCUGGAAAAGGAUCAUCCAAGUUUUAUAUGACCACUGCCUAUGUCCUUUAAUUCCUUCACAGGUAUUCCAUCCUUUAAAACAAACAAACAACAAAUAAAUAAAAAGAUGCCUGAUAUUAAAAUGCUAGAGCCAUGUUCAGAUAUUAGGUACCUGACGGGUACCUGACCAGCUUAUGAGAUAUUCAAAAGAGAUAGGAAUUGACUGCAAGAACAGCACUUCUGAAAUACUAUUUGUUUAUUUAUAUGUGUAAAUAAGAAGUAUGAGGUCCUCUUUUGUUGUUGUUGUUAUUUGUUUUUUUUUUUUUCUUAAUUUUGGGCCUUACAUUACUCAAUGAGGAUCAAAGAGCAUAGAUAAAUUUUGCAUACAUAAAUAAAAAGGCUAAACUAUUUUAAAAGCUUUC